rnacentral:tmRNA from 1 species
GGGGAUGAAAUGGUCUCGACAUACUUUAGGAAUUAAUUACAUCAGUAGUGUGGCAGACUAUAAUGCUUUCUAGGCUUUUAGAAUCGCAAACGAAGAAAAAGCGGAAGUUAAACUUCCAGCAUUUGCUUAUGCAAAUGCAUAUUCAGCAAAUCUUGCUUUUGCUUAGUAAAUAGCAGCAAGUGGCUUAAAGAAAGAGAACGCUUCUUUAAGUUGGUUUAGAUCUCGUCUAAUACUAAUGUUAAAGUAUUGAUAAAUUGAAGUUUUUGUUUAUUUCUAAUUAAUUUAUCUUUUUCAAAAUAAACUAAACUGUAAAAAGUGUAGUUAAUGACUUAAUUUAUGGACGCGGGUUCGAUUCCCGUCAUCUCCACCA